rnacentral:lncRNA from 1 species
GCAUUCUCAAGAGCGGCUGACUGCGCCGUGGACCAUCACUUUCGCUUCUGCCUGCUCUUGCGCCUAUUGCGGCAACUACUCACGCUCCUACGGGACGAGGAGAGGGAGGUGAAUCCGUGGCAGAGAAGUUCCAGGGACCAAAUCUCAAAACAAACAAAGCACCCUCUGGAAUUCUCCCCCACCGGGAGACUGCCUCAAAACAGCAAUUAAUUAACAACCCACUUCUGUCCACGAAGGCACUGACCAGACCAUCAGACCACAGCAUCACUUAAGUGUUGCUGGGGAUCUGCUCUGUUUAGACUUGGCUGCCGGUGGCACCAUUUUGGCGUUUAACACAUUUGUAUAUGUGGCACCAUUGGGGCUUUGGCACCAUUUGGACUUAGCUGCCUGUGGAGCUGUUUGGAACUGAGGGUGCCCUGCCCUUCCAGCCUGGUGCCUUGCCCCUUGAGGCAUAAUAUUUCUGAAAACUGUCCAAAGGACCUGCAUAUUGUUAAGAACAGCUGCAAAAUGUACCAGAGAGAAAGAUCAGGGCCUGCCGCACUACCACGGCAUUCUGC